rnacentral:rRNA from 1 species
CACGUAGGGGACGAGCGUUGUCCGGAUUUAUUGGGCGUAAAGAGCUCGUAGGCGGCUCGUCGCGUCGACCGUGAAAACCCGCAGCUUAACUGCGGGCUUGCGGUUGAUACGGGCGGGCUAGAGUUCGGUAGGGGAGACUGGAAUUCCUGGUGUAGCGGUGAAAUGCGCAGAUAUCAGGAGGAACACCGGUGGCGAAGGCGGGUCUCUGGGCCGAUACUGACGCUGAGGAGCGAAAGCGUGGGGAGCGAACAGG